UUUCCGUAGGUGAACCUGCGGAAGGAUCACUCAUAAUAAGUGUUUUAUGGCACUUUUUUAAAUCCAUAUCCACCUUGUGUGCAAUGUCAGGGUUGAUUUUUCUCUCGAGAGGAUCAACCCCAAACAUCAACUAUAUCUCAACUCUUUGUCUGAAAAAUAUUAUGAAUAAAACAAUUCAAAAUACAACUUUCAACAACGGAUCUCUUGGCUCUC
rnacentral:misc_RNA from 1 species